GACGAACGCUGGCGGCGUGCUUAACACAUGCAAGUCGAACGGAAAGGCCUUUUCGGGGGUACUCGAGUGGCGAACGGGUGAGUAACACGUGGGUGAUCUGCCCUGCACUCUGGGAUAAGCCUGGGAAACUGGGUCUAAUACCGGAUAGGACCGCACUUUAGUGUGUGUGGUGGAAAGUUUUUUCGGUGUAGGAUGAGCCCGCGGCCUAUCAGCUUGUUGGUGGGGUAAUGGCCUACCAAGGCGGCGACGGGUAGCCGGACUGAGAGGUUGGUCGGCCACAUUGGGACUGAGAUACGGCCCAGACUCCUACGGGAGGCAGCAGUGGGGAAUAUUGCACAAUGGGCGCAAGCCUGAUGCAGCGACGCCGCGUGGGGGAUGACGGCCUUCGGGUUGUAAACUCCUUUCGCCAGGGACGAAGCGUUUUGUGACGGUACCUGGAGAAGAAGCACCGGCUAACUACGUG
rnacentral:rRNA from 1 species